rnacentral:rRNA from 1 species
AACGAACGCUGGCGGCAGGCCUAACACAUGCCAGUCGAGCGCCCCGCAAGGGGAGCGGCGGACGGGUGAGUAACGCGUGGGAACGUACCCUUUGCUACGGAAUAGCCUCGGGAAACUGGGAGUAAUACCGUAUGUGUCCUUCGGGAGAAAGAUUUAUCGGCAAGGGAUCGGCCCGCGUUGGAUUAGGUAGUUGGUGGGGUAAUGGCCUACCAAGCCGACGAUCCAUAGCUGGUUUGAGAGGAUGAUCAGCCACACUGGGACUGAGACACGGCCCAGACUCCUACGGGAGGCAGCAGUGGGGAAUCUUAGACAAUGGGCGCAAGCCUGAUCGAGCCAUGCCGCGUGAGCGAUGAAGGCCUUAGGGUUGUAAAGCUCUUUCAGGGGGGAAGAUAAUGACUGUACCCCCAGAAGAAGCCCCGGCUAACUCCGUG